UACCUGGCGGUUCCCAGGUGACGAGGACCCCGCUUCUGUUGCUUCCCGCCUGAUCUUCCGGACGUGAUGGUGUCUCUGCCUCCUCACAGAAUCCUUCCUGUAGUUGAAAUCUGGUUUUCUCUGAGUCCUCUGCAGCGCUUGAAUGCCUGUUAGGCCGCAAGCCCAGCUGGGCUAGGGCAGGGGGAUAUCACGCCGAGAGACCGAAGAAACAACCGGAGACUGCGAGCGAGGCGUAUGGGUUUAUUGGGCCCUACAUACUGGAGCGAGUGCAGCGGCCACCGGCUGGAUGGAAGAACGCGUCCGCCCGGAACCGGCGGAGAGAAGCUUGCGUAAGUAGGCAGAGGAACCAAGCUGCACACUGGCCAAAGGGCUGUCCUUGGUACGACCAGCGUUCCCAGAACAGUAGCUCACAUGGAGGGCCCUGCGUCCCUGUAAGGCGUGCUGUUAUUCUUGUGGGGUUAGGGAGGGUCCGGGCUGGCCGGGCCCAGAUUGUCAGAAAUCCCCGCAGCUGGGCGGCCUGCCCAGAAGGGGCCAGAAGGACACAUGGUUGCAACGGGCCCGGGGGUUUCUGCUGAGCAAGCAAGGCCCAGGCCCUACAAAGCCCCAAUCCCAUUUUGAAAGCAGAUGUUUCCUUUAUGCUUAAACCUCUUUACUACAAGCUGAAAUGAAUGCUUGUUUAUUGGUACAAUAUGAAACCAUAAGAUUAAAGUGUAAAAUUCUUGACUUGGUUAUUUGGUAAUGUUUACUAGAUAAUAGAACUUUCUUAUAUGUUCAACUUAAGAGCUAGACGGACUGUGAAUAUCUGUGCUGCUUGAUAUACCUAUGCUAUUAUUACCAGUGUCAGUAGAAUGCAUAUUUUCAACUACAUGUCCAUGUUAAAUUCUCAUAUUUGUAAGGAACGUGUGUCUAAAUUAUUGCGAUUAUUAGCACCAAAUCUCAAACUUUUUUUUGCAUUAUAAAAUAUAUAAUCUAAGAUUUGUGAUGCAAACAUAUUUCUAGAUAUGUGAUCUACAAAGAGAUCUUUGGGAAACUUUGAUAGGAUCUUUAAAAAAUUGUGAAAUAUAAUACAUAUUUGAAAAAGUGCCUAAAAUAAAUAUGAAUGUACAGUUUGUUUAUAAUGCUGAGUGCCAUGUAAAUACCACCCAGAUCAAGAAAUAAGACUUCAUCUACACCUGGAAGCCGCCACGUGCUUGUGCCUGGUCAUAAUUUUUUCUCAGUUCCCUAGAGUUCAUCAUUAUUCUGACUUUCAUCAUUUCCUCCCUUUUCUUUAUAGUUUUCCACCUCUAAAUGCAUCUUUAAACAAUAUAGUUUUUCCUAUUUUUGAACUUUAAAUGAAUAGAAUCAUGGUGUGUGUAUUCGCUUGUAUCUUGCUUUCUGCUUACUUUUGGAAAAUUAAUCUGUGUUGUUAUGUAUAGCUCUCCUUCAUUAAAUGUCAUGGCUGUGUAGUAUUUCAUUGUCUAAAAAUCCAUGUAGAUGGACGUUUAGGCAUUUGUAGCUUUUGGCCAUUAGGAACAUUGCUGCUAUAUUUAUACCUAGAUCCUGGUAUACAUGUGCAAGAAUUUCUAUUAAGAGUAGAAUUGCUGUGUGGAAUGAAAAUAUCCGUAUCUUCAACUGCAAUAAAUAAAAGUAAAAGCAACCACUGCUUAUAAAGCAAUUAUACCCCUUUUUAUGAAGUCCCGCCCAGAAUGUGAGACUUCCCUUGCUCCACAUCUACGCCAACAUUGGUUAUUGUCAGCUGUUAACACCGUGUGUGAAGCUAGCGGGUGUGUGGUGAGGUUUUAAUUUGCACUUUCCUUACUAAUUAGUUUGAACACCUUGUUAUAUGUUUAUUGGCUACUUGAAUUUCCUCUUUUUGUGGAUGACCUAUUCAAAACUUUUGCCCAUUUUUUUACCAGUCUGUCUUCUUAAAUCAUUUUGUAGAAUUUCUCUAUUUUGGGUACUACUCGGUUAUACGUAUGGAAAAUAUUUUCUUUCAUUUUAUGGUUUGUCUCUUCACCCUUUUAAGAGUGUCUGUGAUGAACAGAAGUUAUUAAUUUUAAUGUACUCCAAUACAUCAAAAGUUUCCUUUAGGGAUUAGUGUACCUGUGACUUGAUCAUGAAGUUAUUUAUGUAUAUUAAAUACUAAAAGCUUAUACAUUUGCAUUUCACAUCCACCUGUCUUUUCCCUAAUACUACACUAAUCAUUGUAACUUUAUAUCGUUUUGAUAUCUGACAGAGCAAGUUCUUGUUCUUUUUCAAGCUCGUCUUGGCUAUUCUUGGUCCUUUGUAUUUCCAUAUAUGUUUUAGAAACAGCUUAUCAAGUUCAGCAACAAUAACAACAAAAACCCAUUGCAUAUUGAGUGGAGUUGGGGAAGAUUUGACAUCUUUACAAUAUUUAGUCCUUCUAUCUAUGAACAUGGUAUACAUAUGCAUUUAUUGAAGAUUUCUUUAAUGUUUCUCAGGCAAGUUUUAUAAUUUACCCCACAGAGAUGUGGUGUAUCUUGUGUUAUAUUGAUUCCUAGGUACUUGACUUUAUUUGAUGCUGUUAUAGUGUUAAUCUAAGUCCAUUUUGUAACUGAUUUGCUUAUACGUAAAAAUGAAAUUGAUUUUAGAAACUACCAAACUGUUCUCCAAUGUGGCUUCACCAUUUUGUAUACCCACUAGGAAUAUAUGAGAAUCCCAAUUGUUCUUCAUCCUUGUUAGCACUUGGAAUUGUCAGUAUUUUUUGUUUUAGCUUUUACAAUAUGUAUGUAAUAGGUGUGGUAGUGGUAUCUUUUCAUGACUUUAGUAUUCAUUUCCCUAAUGGUUAAUGAUGUUGAAUAUCUUUUCAUGUGCUUAGUUGCCAUUUGUAUGUCUUCUGUGGUGAAAUGCCCAAGUUCUUGCCCACUUUUAAAUUGCGUUAUUUGUUUAUGUAUUGUUGAGUUUUAAGAGUUCUUUAUACAUUCUGGAUACAAGUCCAUUGUUGGAUAUGUGAUUUGCAAAUAUUUUCUUUGCAUAUGUAGCUUGCUUUCAUUCUCUUGAAAGUGCUUUUGGCAAAGAAAAUGUGUUUAAUUUAGAUGAAGUCAAAUUUAUCAAUAUUUUCUUAUGGAUCAUACUUUUGGUGUCAUUUCUAAGAACUCUGCCCAGUUCGUGAAGAUGUUCUCUUGUGUUUUCUUCUAAAAGUUUUAUAAUUCUACAUUUUACAUUUAAGUUUAUGAUCCACUCUGAGUUAAUUAUUGUAUAAGGUACGAGGUUUAGGUCAAGGUUCUUUUUUUUCUUUGCAUAUGGAUGACCGCUUGUUCUAACACUGUUUGUUGAAAAGACCGUCUUCCACUGAAUCACUUUUACACCUUUGUCAAAAAUCAAAUAGCUAUAUUUUUGUGGGUUUUUUCCUGGACUCUAUUUUGUUCCAUUGAUCUAUUUGUUUAUCUUUUUGCCAACAUCACACUAUCUUGAUUACUAUAGCAUUACAAUAAGUCUUAAAAUCAGGUAGUUUGAUUCCUCCAACUUUGCCUUCUUUUUCAAAAUUAAGCUCUAGUUUCUUUACUCUUUCAUAUACAUAAUCUUGUUUAUGUCCACAAAAAAUACUGUUGGGAUUUUGGUCGGAACAGUAUUAAAUCUAUAGAUCACUUUGGGGAGUUUUACAUCUUUACUAGGUUGCAUUUUCCAAUCCAUGAACACAGUGUCUUUCCAUCUAAGUCUUCCUUGAGUUCUGUUGUUAGCAUUUUUAGUUUUCAGCAUACAGAUCCUAUGCAUGCUUUGUUAUAUUUCUACAUAAGAAUUUCAUUUUUUGGAUCAGGCCAUGCUGAGGCGGGGUCCCACAUAGCACAACCAGAAGGACCUGCAACUGGAAUGUACAGUGAUGUACUGUGUGGCUUUGGGAAGAAGAAGAAAAAAAAAAGGUUGCCAGUACUAUGUUGAAAAGUAUCAGUGGGAGAGGACAUCAUUGCUUUGUGCCUAAUUUCAGGGGGAAACCAUUCAGUCUCUCACCACUAAGUAUGUUGUGAUAGCUGUAGAUUUUUUGUAAAUGCCCUUUAUUAGGUUAAGGGAGUUCUAUUCAUAGUUUGCUUAGAUUUUUUUAAAAAAUCAGGAAUGAUGUUAGAUCUUGUCAAAUUAUCUUUCUGUGUCUAUUGAGAGGAUAAGAUGGUUUUUCUGAUUUAUUAAUAUGGUGAAUUAUAUUACUUUUUUUCCUACAGAUAGUGAACUAGUCUUGCAUUCUGGGAUGACACCCACUUGAUCAUGAUAUCUUUUUAUAUUUUUCCAGAUACAAUUUGCUAAUGUUUUAUUGAGGAUUUUUGCAUCCAUGUUAUAAGGGAUAUUGGCCUGUUGUUUUAUUUUCUUGUAACCUCCUUGUCUGGUUUUGGUAUUAGGGAAAUACCUUAUAAAAGGAGUUGUGAGGUGUUCCUUCCUCUUCUUUUUCUUCAACAGACGGUGUAGAUAUUAGUAUGUAUUAUUUCUUCCUUAAGUGUUAGUAAAAUCUGUCAGUGAAAUCAUCUGUUCCAUUGAGUUUUCUUUUGUGGAAGGUUUAUUUUUUAAGAUAAAAGUUGAUAAGGUUUAUCGAUUUCUUCUUGGGUGAGUUCUGGUAGUUUGUAUCUUUUAAGGAAUUGAUCCAUUUAAUCUAACUUACUGAACUCAUGGGCAUAGAUUUGUUCAUAGCGUUCCCUUCUUGUCCCUUUAAUGUCUGUGGGAUCAGUAAUGAUGUCUUCUCUUUCAUUCAUUAUAUUGGUUAUUUAUGUCUAUUCUUUUUAUUUCCUGGUCAGCUUAGUUAGAGGUCUAUCCAUAUUAUCUAUCAAUCUUUUCGAAGAGCCACCUUUUUAUUUCAUUGAUUUCUGCUCUAAUCAUUUCCUUCUGUAUUUUGUUUGCUUUAGGUUUGCUGUGAUCUUUUUUCUAGUUGACUAAGGUCAGAGUUUAGGUUCCUGAUUUUAGAUCUUUCUUGUUUGUUAGUAUAUGCAUUCAACGCUAUAAAUUUCCACGAAGAACUGCUCUCUGUCUCCUACAAAUUUUAUGUUGCAUUUUAACUUUUAUUUGGUUAAAAAUAUUUUAAAAUUUCCUUUGAGAGUUCCUCAUUGACCCCAAGGUUAUUUAAAAGUACAUUAAUUUCCAAAUAUUUGGAUACUUUCCAGGUAUCUUUCUAGUUUAGUUCUAUUUUAGUCUGAAAAUCUUUGUAUCAUUUUUACUCUCUUACAUUUGGUCAGGUUUGCUUUAUGGCCCAGAAUACUGUCUGUCUUGGUGAAUGUUCCAUGUACACUUAAUGAGACCUGUAUUUCACUGUUGUUGGUUGGAGCAUUUUAUACAUACCCAUUAGGUUAGGUUGAUUGACUGUGCUUUUCAUUGCUAAGCCUUCUGAUUUUCUGCCUACUUUUUCUGUCAGUCACUGUAGAAGAGUAUUGCCACUUCCAACCUAAAUUGUGGGUGUGUCUAUUUCUCCUUACAGGUCUGUUUUUGCUUUAUGUAGUUUAUACGCAUUUAGGAUUUUUAUGUCAAGAAGAGCAGAGUGAUCUUGGGUGAGUCUGCUCUGUUCAGUUGAGACAAUCUCCAAAGGGGGAUGACAGCUGAUUACUGAAGGCACUCCCAGAAAUUAGGAGAAAUCCUUUAUUCCUGAAGGAGGAUCUGGACACUGCAUCACAGCAUCUACCAGAGGAGUAAUCAGGUUUUCUAUUUGAGUGUUUUAAUGAUGUUUUCAUAGGAAUUGGUCUAUUUUGUUAAACUUUCAAAUUCAUUGGUAUUAAAAUUAACGUCUUCCAGUUUUUGUUUUAUAUAUACAUUAUCUGUAGUUCUCUCUCCUUUUUCGUUUCUGGUAUUGGUUAUUUGUGCUUGUUUUCUUUUUCUUGAUAGAGGCUCUUGGGGCAGCUGGCAGCCAUUUAAGUGAUUAACUUGGGGGUACACAGGCCUAGUCUUCUUACCCUAACUUGAGACAGGUUAGGAGAUAGGAGAGGUCAUUCUAUCUCAAAAUUCAACAUAGGGUUGUAUGAGGCAUUCCACUGAGAAUGGAUCACAACUCAAUUUCUCUCCCUGCCCAAUAUUCCUUCCUUCCCUUCUUCUAUGCUGGUGUUGAUCAACAGCACUCCGUAAUCUAUUAUCUGUUUUAUUAGUCUUUAAAGAUAAACACUAAUAAAGACUCCAUCGCCUGGCCAGGGGACAUAAAGCCAGGCUGCAAGUCAUCACAAAGGCUGCUUAACUUUCAGGUCACCUUCACCCUGAGGAGUUAGCCCUUAAGUAUCCUAGCUUAAUACUUGGUGUACCAUCAGGGUCUGCCGGACACAAUUCAAGUUUUUGAGUUUCUUUUUUGAGUAGUUCUAGCUAUUUGUAAGGAUUAAUAUGUCCUGACUUUUAUUAUUUCUUAGAGGUCUUCUAAAGAACAAAAGGAAAAUUAUUUUUUAAAAUAUGGAAUAAAACUCAUUCUCUCUUGCAAUUACCAUAUGUAUCCACUGGACCCUUGUAUAAAUCUAAGAUUUAUUAUGUAAUCUUAUCGAUCUUAUUUUUCCUAUAUUUUGAAACAUUUUGCUGUAGCAUUUCUCUCCAUGAAAACGCUAUGAAGCCAAGAUCCUUUUCCUUUUAGUAACCACAGCCCGAGUAGAGAUGCUCUUCACAGACUUGUAAAGAUGCUCAAUAAUCUGAGGGUGCAUCUCUAGGUAUCUCUACCCAUAAUAGGGCCCUAUCUUUCCUUACUAAGAGUGGGAAUGGUAAGGAAAGUAUGUUUAAAAGUUGUAACCUUUAAUUUUGAGGCCUUCUAGGAGUGAGAAACUAUUUUGGGAAUUAAGUUUCGGAAAAUACAUAAAGAUUUUUGGGUGGUAGAUGGAGAAAUAUAAAAGGCUAGUCCAAAUAAAUGGUGUCUUACCAACAAUGUAUUUAUAGUAUUUACAAAUACCAUAAUUUUUAUCUUCAAAGUUAAGUCUUAAUUAGUCCUCCUUGUUCCCCAAAGAAGGAGGAUUAUAGAAGUAUAGAUCAGUGGAAGAGAGUCAGAAAAUGUUAAGUUACUGUUGUCACUGCAGUGGGAAAUGGGAGGGAAGAAAAGAACCAGCACUUAAUCAAGCACCUUCUGUGUACACGUAGCUAUUUAAGACUCAAAACAUCCUUAAAGGAAGGUAUCACUCACGGUACUUCUUUUACAGAUGAAGAAACCAAAGCUCAAAGAAGGAAAGUGACUAAAAGUAACAAAAUGGGAGGGUUAGGCUUUGAAUCCAGAUUUGUCUGAUGUCAAAGUCUUGUGCUUUUUCCACUAAAAUAUUCAAAAUUAAUAUAAAGGUCUUUCUAUUUCAUUCUCAAUGUUGUGACAUAUUUUUCACCUGUUGCCCCUUAAUAAAUGACAUCAAUGUUGCAUUUGGAGGUAGUAUCAAGAUGCAGAAACAUAGUAUAAUACCACUAAUUGUAUUUUCAAUUGUCAUUAACGUUUUAUUUGCCUAUAGCACUACUCCUCGAAGACCCUGACUCCAAGUGAGUUUUAAAACUCAUGCUAUUGUCAGCUGAGAGACACUAACCCUAACUAUCUUUAGGAACAGUGUGGAACAGGGCCCGGCACAGUGCGCGGGUGGAUAACUGUGUAGUGAGUCUAAGCGCGGUGGUCAGGAAUCUUGCCCUGCUCACAAGGAGGCAACGGCAAGUCACUUUACUUGUCUCACAGUCCAGAGAAGUGACUUAGACCUUGGAUUCUCUAAGGCCUCUUCAUGCUCCAAAAUAACGAUUUACAGACUCACCGGAAUACCUGGUUCCAAUACAGAGUAUUUAUUCAGAAGACAUAUUAACAUGCUCAGAUACACAGAGUAAACCACUUAUACACGCCAUUCUCAGCGAACUGUAAAGAAAAACUAACAUGAACAACAAGAUUAAAUGUUCUCUGAGAAGUUUUUGUAGUUUAUAGCUAUCACAUGCCAUUUGCA